CUGCUGCCGUAAUAUCGGGGAAGCUGGCAAAUGAAAGUGGAAAAGAAGCAUCGAAGCGGGACGGCCAUAUUGAAGAGACGCAUGUUGCUUCGACUUUGAAUAUUAAUGACUCGAGAGACGUAGAUAAUGAUGUUAACCGGCCAUUUGUUGAUGAAAUUCAAUGCGAAGAAGCUAUUCCUAAUGUUAUCGAAAAAAUUCCAGCAAACAGCCGUUCCAUACAAGAUGACCAAAUGUUGUCCCUUGAGGCCCUUCAAAGCCAAAUACAAGCUCUUACCAAAGAAGUAAACGGAAAUACGGCUGCUUUAGAAAACAUAAGGGAACCAAAAAUGGACUCCAAUCCAUUGUUAGUUCAAGAAUCAAAAAACGAAGUUGAUUGCCU